rnacentral:rRNA from 1 species
GACGAACGCUGGCGGCGUGCUUAACACAUGCAAGUGGAGCGACGAACCGGGGCUUGCCCCGGGGCAGAGCCGCGAACGGGUGAGUAACACGUGGGUAACCUGCCUCAAUGAUUGGGACAACCCGGGGAAACUCGGGCUAAUACCAAAUGUGUUCACUCCUUUUAAAGGGGAGUGAGGAAAGGAAGCUUCGGCCUCCGCAUUGAGAUGGGCCCGCGGCCCAUUAGCUUGUUGGUGAGGUAACGGCUCACCAAGGCUUCGAUGGGUAGCUGGUCUGAGAGGACGAUCAGCCACACUGGGACUGAGACACGGCCCAGACUCCUACGGAGGCAGCAGUGGGAAUCUUGCACAAUGCGCGAAAGCGUGAUGCAGCAACGCCGCGU